GCAAGUCGAGGGGCAGCACGAAUAGCAAUAUUUGGUGGCGACCGGCGCACGGGUGCGUAACACGUAUACAACCUACCUAUAACAGGGGGAUAGCCUUUCGAAAGAGAGAUUAAUACCCCGUAAUAAAUUUGAUGGCAUCAUUAGAUUUUGAAAGCUCCGGCGGUUAUAGAUGGGUAUGCGUCUGAUUAGCUAGUUGGUGAGGUAAUGGCUCACCAAGGCGACGAUCAGUAGGGGAUCUGAGAGGACUAAC
rnacentral:rRNA from 1 species